rnacentral:rRNA from 1 species
UUAAGCGACUAAGCGUACACGGUGGAUGCCCUGGCAGUCAGAGGCGAUGAAGGACGUGCUAAUCUGCGAUAAGCGUCGGUAAGGUGAUAUGAACCGUUAUAACCGGCGAUUUCCGAAUGGGGAAACCCAGUGUGAUUCGUCACACUAUCAUUAACUGAAUCCAUAGGUUAAUGAGGCGAACCGGGGGAACUGAAACAUCUAAGUACCCCGAGGAAAAGAAAUCAACCGAGAUUCCCCCAGUAGCGGCGAGCGAACGGGGAGCAGCCCAGAGCCUGAAUCAGUGUGUGUGUUAGUGGAAGCGUCUGGAAAGGCGCGCGAUACAGGGUGACAGCCCCGUACACAAAAAUGCACAUGCUGUGAGCUCGAUGAGUAGGGCGGGACACGUGGUAUCCUGUCUGAAUAUGGGGGGACCAUCCUCCAAGGCUAAAUACUCCUGACUGACCGAUAGUGAACCAGUACCGUGAGGGAAAGGCGAAAAGAACCCCGGCGAGGGGAGUGAAAAAGAACCUGAAACCGUGUACGUACAAGCAGUGGGAGCACAGAGCAAUCUGUGUGACUGCGUACCUUUUGUAUAAUGGGUCAGCGACUUAUAUUCUGUAGCAAGGUUAACCGAAUAGGGGAGCCGAAGGGAAACCGAGUCUUAACUGGGCGUUAAGUUGCAGGGUAUAGACCCGAAACCCGGUGAUCUAGCCAUGGGCAGGUUGAAGGUUGGGUAACACUAACUGGAGGACCGAACCGACUAAUGUUGAAAAAUUAGCGGAUGACUUGUGGCUGGGGGUGAAAGGCCAAUCAAACCGGGAGAUAGCUGGUUCUCCCCGAAAGCUAUUUAGGUAGCGCCUCGUGAAUUCAUCUCCGGGGGUAGAGCACUGUUUCGGCAAGGGGGUCAUCCCGACUUACCAACCCGAUGCAAACUGCGAAUACCGGAGAAUGUUAUCACGGGAGACACACGGCGGGUGCUAACGUCCGUCGUGAAGAGGGAAACAACCCAGACCGCCAGCUAAGGUCCCAAAGUCAUGGUUAAGUGGGAAACGAUGUGGGAAGGCCCAGACAGCCAGGAUGUUGGCUUAGAAGCAGCCAUCAUUUAAAGAAAGCGUAAUAGCUCACUGGUCGAGUCGGCCUGCGCGGAAGAUGUAACGGGGCUAAACCAUGCACCGAAGCUGCGGCAGCGACACUAUGUGUUGUUGGGUAGGGGAGCGUUCUGUAAGCCUGUGAAGGUGUACUGUGAGGUAUGCUGGAGGUAUCAGAAGUGCGAAUGCUGACAUAAGUAACGAUAAAGCGGGUGAAAAGCCCGCUCGCCGGAAGACCAAGGGUUCCUGUCCAACGUUAAUCGGGGCAGGGUGAGUCGACCCCUAAGGCGAGGCCGAAAGGCGUAGUCGAUGGGAAACAGGUUAAUAUUCCUGUACUUGGUGUUACUGCGAAGGGGGGACGGAGAAGGCUAUGUUGGCCGGGCGACGGUUGUCCCGGUUUAAGCGUGUAGGCUGGUUUUCCAGGCAAAUCCGGAAAAUCAAGGCUGAGGCGUGAUGACGAGGCACUACGGUGCUGAAGCAACAAAUGCCCUGCUUCCAGGAAAAGCCUCUAAGCAUCAGGUAACAUCAAAUCGUACCCCAAACCGACACAGGUGGUCAGGUAGAGAAUACCAAGGCGCUUGAGAGAACUCGGGUGAAGGAACUAGGCAAAAUGGUGCCGUAACUUCGGGAGAAGGCACGCUGAUAUGUAGGUGAAGUCCCUCGCGGAUGGAGCUGAAAUCAGUCGAAGAUACCAGCUGGCUGCAACUGUUUAUUAAAAACACAGCACUGUGCAAACACGAAAGUGGACGUAUACGGUGUGACGCCUGCCCGGUGCCGGAAGGUUAAUUGAUGGGGUCAGCGCAAGCGAAGCUCUUGAUCGAAGCCCCGGUAAACGGCGGCCGUAACUAUAACGGUCCUAAGGUAGCGAAAUUCCUUGUCGGGUAAGUUCCGACCUGCACGAAUGGCGUAAUGAUGGCCAGGCUGUCUCCACCCGAGACUCAGUGAAAUUGAACUCGCUGUGAAGAUGCAGUGUACCCGCGGCAAGACGGAAAGACCCCGUGAACCUUUACUAUAGCUUGACACUGAACAUUGAGCCUUGAUGUGUAGGAUAGGUGGGAGGCUUUGAAGUGUGGACGCCAGUCUGCAUGGAGCCGACCUUGAAAUACCACCCUUUAAUGUUUGAUGUUCUAACGUUGACCCGUAAUCCGGGUUGCGGACAGUGUCUGGUGGGUAGUUUGACUGGGGCGGUCUCCUCCUAAAGAGUAACGGAGGAGCACGAAGGUUGGCUAAUCCUGGUCGGACAUCAGGAGGUUAGUGCAAUGGCAUAAGCCAGCUUGACUGCGAGCGUGACGGCGCGAGCAGGUGCGAAAGCAGGUCAUAGUGAUCCGGUGGUUCUGAAUGGAAGGGCCAUCGCUCAACGGAUAAAAGGUACUCCGGGGAUAACAGGCUGAUACCGCCCAAGAGUUCAUAUCGACGGCGGUGUUUGGCACCUCGAUGUCGGCUCAUCACAUCCUGGGGCUGAAGUAGGUCCCAAGGGUAUGGCUGUUCGCCAUUUAAAGUGGUACGCGAGCUGGGUUUAGAACGUCGUGAGACAGUUCGGUCCCUAUCUGCCGUGGGCGCUGGAGAACUGAGGGGGGCUGCUCCUAGUACGAGAGGACCGGAGUGGACGCAUCACUGGUGUUCGGGUUGUCAUGCCAAUGGCACUGCCCGGUAGCUAAAUGCGGAAGAGAUAAGUGCUGAAAGCAUCUAAGCACGAAACUUGCCCCGAGAUGAGUUCUCCCUGACUCCUUGAGAGUCCUGAAGGAACGUUGAAGACGACGACGUUGAUAGGCCGGGUGUGUAAGCGCAGCGAUGCGUUGAGCUAACCGGUACUAAUGAACCGUGAGGCUUAACCU